GAGGGUACAGCUCAAGUGGUAAAGCACAUGCCUAGCAUGUGCAAGGUCCUGGGUUCAAUCCCUAGUACCUUCU
rnacentral:tRNA from 1 species